rnacentral:rRNA from 1 species
UACGUAGGCAGCGAGCGUUGUUCGGAUUUACUGGGCGUAAAGGGUGUGUAGGCGGUUCUUUAAGUUUGGUGUGAAAUCUCCCGGCUCAACCGGGAGGGUGCGCCGAAUACUGAGGGACUCGAGUGCGGGAGAGGAAAGUGGAAUUCCUGGUGUAGCGGUGAAAUGCGUAGAUAUCAGGAGGAACACCGGUGGUGUAGACGGCUUUCUGGACCGUAACUGACGCUGAGACACGAAAGCGUGGGUAGCAAACAGG